AAGCAGACAGUUAUCCCUCGCUGAGCUGGCGUGCUCUCUGAGGGAGUCAGUCUGCGACAGAAAUGUUCAGGUCUGAGCUUCUUCAGUCAGCUUCCUGCUGAUCUGCAGCUCACCUGAGAACA
ensembl:snoRNA